rnacentral:rRNA from 1 species
UAAUCCGACCUAGGCUCAUCCAUCGACGCGAGGUCUUGCGACCCCCGCUUCCCCCGAAGGGCGUAUGCGGUAUUAGCCAAUCUUUCGACUGGUUAUUCCCCAUCAUUGGGCAGAUUCCGAAGCAUUGCUCACCCGUUCGCCGCUCGUCAGCACGUAUUGCUACGCCUGUUACCGCUCGACUUGCAUGUGUUAGGCACGCCGCCAGCGUUCAAUCUGAGCCAGGAUCAAACUCUA